rnacentral:lncRNA from 1 species
UUUCAUUCAAUCUCGUUUUACUCUAACACGUUAUCAGCACGCUCUCUGCGAGCAAUUCAAUAGUCGCAUGCAACCAUCGCGUGGCCAUUGUUCCAGAUAUCAUUGACCACACAUGGCCAUUGCGGUGUGAUGAAAACCGGCCACCGGCGAAUCCUUAAACGAAACGCCGUAGCGGCCGCGCAAUGAGGGCAUGUGUCUCUCGAGAUUUCCACAGGAAAAGGAGGCCACGAACCAGCAUGAAAUGCCUCCAAAGUGCCAUUGGCAAGGACAUGCAUGUCCCAUCGAGGAAGAAAUCGAUUAGGAACACUAAAUUGAUUUGGGUUUUUUGUCUUUUCUAGAGGAACUCACAAUCAGCCAUAAACGAUUCACCGUUGUUUUGCUUUUCAUGGCAGCGUACGCGACCAAGGCACUUUGCAGUCAACGUACGCGCAGGCGCUACUACUUCAGGCGUAUGCGCAGCGGCGUUCGAUCGCUGGCCUCGGCCCUUGGCACCGGCCGCCUCACAAUGUCUGGCUUCGGCAAGACGCGGCUACGACAAAGACGAUCAUCCAUAUGUGCAUGCAUCCGUUGAAGAAAUCGAUUAGGAGAAAGAGCAAUUUUCUUUUGCGUCACCGGAAGACACGAAGUGCAUCACCGGCCUUCCACAACAACGGAAACUUGGACAUUCUGAUGAGCGGCAGCCGACGGGAUGCUGCGCUUCGUAAAGUCAAGAUAAUCCCGCCGACGACCUUCGACACGCCCUUAGCGGCAUACAUCACCAAUUGAAAUUGGAGAACAAACGUUGUGGCAUUUUUCUCAGAAAGACGAUGAGGACGAGUGCAAAACUCCCAGAUUAUACACCAUUACUGUGAGGUCUACAUCUUAUCACUAACAAGAUGACUACCUUCAAAAUGCUCUUCCAAAUUUAAUAUGUGACUACCUCAAGAUAUCAUAAGGUAAUACUCGCAUCUACUGCAAAAAAUAUAUAUAUAAUUGCAGACUAUGCAUUAUUACUGCAAGGUCUACAUCAUGUUAGUCUGACAGAUGGUUACCUUUGAAGUGAUUUUCUAAAAUAUAGCAUAACAUAAGGUAAUAGAAUUAUGAACAUCUACUGACAAAAGUCAGACUAUGUUUUCUAUUACUGCGAGAUCUACACCAUAUUGGUGAUUAUCUUCAAAGUGGUAUCCUAUAUAAAUUGAGGUCUACACAUAUGGCUAUAAGGCAUCAGCCGUACUAAAA